CGGCGGACGGGUGAGUAACGCGUGGGUAACCUGCCUCAUACAGGGGGAUAACAGUUGGAAACGGCUGCUAAUACCGCAUAAGCGCACAGCACCGCAUGGUACGGUGUGAAAAACUCCGGUGGUAUGAGAUGGACCCGCGUCUGAUUAGCUAGUUGGUGGGGUAACGGCCUACCAAGGCGACGAUCAGUAGCCGGCCUGAGAGGGUGAACGGCCACAUUGGGACUGAGACACGGCCCAA
rnacentral:rRNA from 1 species